UUGUCUCAUUGUCUGCUAAAAUAGUUAAAAAGUUUAUAAUGUUUUAUAUUCACCCAUAUGCUCAUGAUAAUAGCAGAGUGCCAUAGUUUCAGUCAUGAAAAGCCCGUACUCUUCUCUCCUAUCCCAUGCACAGACACUUGCAUUGCCUCAAACCUAUUUUUGUUUGUUCAUGAUUGAGCGGUCAUAUUGGAAACUUGGUAAGGUUCUGUCUUUUGCUUCAUUCCCAUCCACAUGGCUGAAUCUGAAUAUUCUUUUUCUGAUGUGAUUUAUGUGAACUCUCAAGAAUUAAGGAAUCAAGAGUCGAAGCUUGAAUUCUCUGAGGACGAGGAAGAGCUUUUAAUUAGGAUGUUUAAUCUAGUUGGAAAGAGUUUCGAGAUAAUUUCUUGGAGAAACCGGAGCUGAACCCGUAAUCCCCACAAGGGUGGUCCCAAUGUUGAAAGUGACAGGCUUGUACUUUGAGUGAAGUUCUGAAACAUGGGAAACUGGGAGCAGUGGCGGUGCAUGUAUACACAGAGAAUCGUUGCUCCCUUUGACGUGAAUUUAAUGGAACUCAGCCUUAGACAUAAACCUCAUUUUCCAUUGCUUUUUGACUGCAUUACCCCCUUCAUUUUCUCUCUUUUUUUCUCUGCGUUUCUUUUUCUGUCUCUCGGUUGCAGAUUAAAGCUAGUGCCUUUCUAUGGAUCGCCCAGCUGAAGGUAUUAAUGUCACUGAUGGACAAGAGAAGCAUUACAGAAUAAAGCUGGGAACCCCAAUCGCCAAGCUCCUUCGUUAUUAUUGUGACACCAAGCAAUUGGAAUAUUAUACGAUGGUGUUUUUAAUCAAAGGCAGACGCUUCAACCAAACGAAAACACCAGCUGAGGUUCCUUUUUUUUUUUUAAAUUGUGGUUUGGUGAUUAUUCAUUUUAAAAUACAAGUUUUGGUUUGCAAAUUUGUAGCUCAAUCUAAAGGAUGGUGUUCAAAUUGAAGCCUUCAUGCACCAGAAUGGAGGAGGCUGCAAGGGCGUUUGAGCCCACAAUGUCUGCCAAUAGAAGUUGCCUCUAAUUCUUAUUGCAUUAGCAAAGUCAUUAGUUUUAGUUUCUACUGAAUCGGCACACCUUCAUUAGGUUAAAUAUUGGACAUUUGUUCUUAAACCUGGUUUUUGUUAUGGCAUGACUUGUGGCUCGGGGGAAAAAAAAGAGUUUGUCUUCGCAAUGCUUUUUUACUAAUGAUUAUUUUGGAAAUUGGAGCUGGUUUAAUACUUAA